UGGCAAGUGUCUGCCGCGUAAACACUGGGCAGUUUCGUGGAUCAGGAUUUCCAACAACGAAAGUAGAGAGAGCACCAUUAGCAGAUAGGGAGGGAAGCUGAAGAAUCGUAUUUCCGUACCAUGCAUAUACAGGCAACCCAGGACAUCCCAUAGCGUAUUCUAAUUAUUCUGUACUGUACCAGGAAGAACGGACUCAGGAGCUGUGUCUGCAACAGGAGGAGAAACUAUAGAGCAGCAGACGUACAAGGAUCAAAGGCAGGCGGCAGUCAGGACAACAUUUGUACAAAAAAAGGCACUGCUACUGAGGCAAGCCCAUAUUUAAAAGGGUAACCAAAGAAAAGCAAAGUUGAAACAGGGAUGCCAGUAAACAGCAAAAUCCAAAAGGAAAGCGCCAAACUUGAUGGGACAAAACUAAAAGAAGGAAACGGAAGAAACAAGACUAAAAGGGCAGCAGCUGUGAGAAGUUAAAUUUAAAAUGGAGGCUUCGAGAUGCAGGCAGGGCACAAUGAACACCAGCCCAUUGAGGGAGGAAGUGCACUAAUCUAACAUUCAACACAUGAAGAGGAAGCAAUGGCAAUCAUUGGCUACAAUUUUGGCCAGUGCACAUUAAAUAAGAAAAGAGACGUUCUCAAAAACUCACUGAAGGCACGGUGACCCUCACAUCUCCACCACAACUGCUGGGCCUCACUUUUUCAUUGAGUAAAGAGUUACAUUUUAUGAGACAUAUCUCAGAUUUCAUGGAAUAACAGAAUUGUGAGUUACAAUUAAUCAGAUUGCUCUGUAAGUGAAAUAAAUAACAAGUUUUUAACU